CAUUACUGAAUUGCCAACACGAGUUGUUGCUGGCUCUCAACUUGGGGGCAUGUGCACGCUCUGUUUGUAUAUCCACUCACACCUGUGCACCUUCUGUAGUUCUGUGGCUGAGAGGACUCUGUCCUCCUGCCGUGGUUCUACAUCUUUACACACACACUGUAAUAAAGUCUUAUGGAAUGUAUGUCGCGUCUAACGCAAUACAAUACAACUUUCAGCAACGGAUCUCUUGGCUCUCGCAUCGAUGAAGAACGCAGCGAAAUGCGAUAAGUAAUGUGAAUUGCAGAAUUCAGUGAAUCAUCGAAUCUUUGAACGCACCUUGCGCCCUUUGGCUAUUCCGAAGGGCAUGCCUGUUUGAGUAUCAUGAACACCUCAACUCUCAUGGUUCGCCGUGAUGAGCUUGGACUUUGGAGGUCUUGCUGGCCUGUGGUCGGCUCCUCUCAAACAAAUCAGCUUGCCAGUGUUUGGUGGCAUCACAGGUGUGAUAAAUAUCUACGCUUGUGGUUUUCUGCCAGAUAGCCUUCAGCAAUGGAGGUUCAUUGGAGCUCAUAAAUGUCUCUCCUCAGCGAGGACAGCUUUUGAACGUUUGAUCUCAAAUCAGGUAGGACUACCCGCUGAACUUAA
rnacentral:rRNA from 1 species